CUGCGGAAGGAUCAUUAAUCAAUCGCGCACCGUUGGAAGGGGAUGGACAGUCCAGCAUGGAGAGAGGGAGUGAUGCGAUCGGAGCGACCCCCCAUACUCACCGCAGUGUCAAGGCCCUCUGGGCCCAAGACUGGAGUCCCUGGAACCUGGGUUGCAGACGGCUACGCCCAGUGAGUGAGGGAAUCAUCCCUCGCCAGCUGUAGUGAGUCGAGAGCCCUUAGUUAUAGUAGCGCGUCUCCUUCGUCGAACCGCAUCUCACUGUCUAAGGGUCCCACCAGAUUAUACUUUCCGGAAAGCUGCUCCCAAGUGAAACUGGGACUCGAGCUUUCCAAGCCUCAGUAGGGUCGAUUCGUCAACAUCGAUUGUGAAGGCGUCACCUUGCCCGCUAAACCUUUGAGUUAAUGGGAGCUCUGCUUUGCAUCUUCAGUAUAUAGGGGUGGGUACCUGCUGAGUCUGAGGGAGAGAGAAAUCAUCGCUGUGGGUAGGGACGACCCCUCUAUCUUUGACAGUGUCGCCUACACCUCCUUCUGAUGUGUUGGACUGACAGUCCCCUUUGACGUGAUCAUUUGAUUUUACCCCUCUGUGAACCUUCUCCUGUUGCUUCCGUGUUGCCUGUGACCUUUUGCUUUCCUGUUACAGGUUGAAGAAGGUUGCCUGAAAAGCCUGAGGAUUUGAUCCUCAAGGGCGCGCGGCUAUAGCUUAUGAACUCUUGUUGUCUGUAUUCCUUACGUCUGAGUGUUGAACACAUCAAACAAGUUAAAACUUUCAACAACGGAUCUCUUGGUUCUCGCAUCGAUGAAGAACGCAGCGAAAUGCGAUAAGUAGUGUGAAUUGCAGAAUUCAGUGAAUCAUCGAAUCUUUGAACGCACAUUGCGCCUCCUGGUAUUCCGGGAGGCAUGCCUGUUCGAGCGUCAUCAAACUCAUCCUCAGGCAUCUUUGCUUGGUUCUGGAGGAAGAUGGACUUUGGUCCAUCCCCUCCAAAAUUCCUCAGCGGAAUCCAUGAUAACCCCAGCGUGAUGAUAACCUGUUCGCUUUGGUUGGUUGUGGUCUUUCAGCUGUGUGAAGCCCCCCAGCACUCUUUAUGUUGACCUCGGAUCACGUAGC
rnacentral:rRNA from 1 species